CCAUUACUGCUGUCACAGUGUUACUUAUCCACUCCUCCUUCUGUGUGCAGUUCUUCAGCCCCCAUGCUUCUACCGCCAGCCUAUGUACAUGACCAUAUUAACAAUCAAACUCUAGUUAUAAUGUUAUCAAGACUUUGUACUAUCAAGACUCUAAGAGAAUUAAACUAUUUAAGACUACGAAUUCGAUUACUCGCAUAGGAAGAUGAAAUGUUUUAUGGAUCAAAAUCGCGUUACAUAGCUAAAUUUUACCUAGUGGCCUUUCCGAGACGAGCAUGACGAGCGAUUAUAUUCUCAAGUCCUUCCUCGAAGAUAAGAUCAAGAGCGGCUCUGAGACCGUAGAGGAGUUGAAUGGAAGGUGUGUAAGGCCAAUAGGUUCCAAGCUUGUAAAACUUGAGGUAGUCAUUCCAAUCAAAGAAUACUUUGAGGGAUUUAGAGGUUUUUGUAGCUUCCAAGGCUUUAGGACUGGCACACACAAUACCAAGUCCUGUUGGUAGAGAUAAGGCUUUCUGGGAGCCGGUCAAGGCAACAUCCACUCCCCACUCAUCCAUUCGGAAAUCAAGCGCACAAAUGGACGAGACACCGUCCACAAGCAGCAAGGCCGGGUGCUUGUAGUGAUCUGUUUUAUACACUUGUGUUAGUGAGAUUUAAAACAGAGGAAACACACAAAAAUACAAGGAGAUGAUUAGUGAGGAGUUAAUAACCAAGGAGGGUUCGGACAGCAGAGAUGUCAUUGGUGACUCCAGUAGCUGUCUCAUUGUGGACAAUGCAAAUGGCUUUGAUGGAAUGACUCGCAUCUUCAGAGAGCUUCGAGGCCAACACUUGGAGAUUAGCACCUUGUCCCCAAUCACUCUCAACCACAUCAACAUUGAAAUUUAGCCUCUUCUGCUGGUCAAUCCAGAGCAAGCUAAACUGUCCAAUCAGAAACGAGACGAUCCUGUCUCCAGGAGAUAGCGUGUUGGUCAAGGCACUCUCCCAAGCACCAGUCCCUGUGGUUGGAAACAGAAACGGUGUCCCAGAUGUUGUCUUGAAUAUCUUCUUCACAUCUUCCAACAAAGUUUUCGUCAGUGCCGGAAUAGCCGGUGACCGGUAAUCCUCGUUGUUCCGGUUCAUCGCCCGGAUCACCGGUUCCGGUAUGUUCACUGGCCCCGGCACAAACAGAUGGUGCCUCCCUGGUCCAUACAUGUA
rnacentral:lncRNA from 1 species